CCUACGGGGCGCAGCAGUGAGGAAUAUUGGUCAAUGGCCGGAAGGCUGAACCAGCCAAGCCGCGUGAAGGACGAAGGUGCCAAGCAUUGUAAACUUCUUUUGUCAAGGGACAAAAUCAGGCUCGAGAGCCUGACCGAGGGUACUUGAAGAAAAAGCAUCGGCUAACUCCGUGCCAGCAGCCGCGGUAAUACGGAGGAUGCGAGCGUUAUCCGGAUUUAUUGGGUUUAAAGGGUGCGUAGGCGGCACGGCAAGCCGGCGGUCAAAUCGCGGGGCUCAACCCCGCCCAGCCG
rnacentral:rRNA from 1 species